rnacentral:rRNA from 1 species
CUAUAAUAUCAUUUAAUCGCAUGAUUUUAUGAUUAAAGCUUCGGCGGUAAAAGAUGAGCAUGCGUCCUAUUAGUUAGUAGGUGAGGUAACGGCUCACCUAGACUCCGAUAGGUAGGGGUCCUGAGAGGGAGAUCCCCCACACUGGUACUGAGACACGGACCAGACUCCUACGGGAGGCAGCAGUGAGGAAUAUUGGACAAUGGACGAAAGUCUGAUCCAGCUAUGCCGCGUGCAGGAUGACGGCCCUAUGGGUUGUAAACUGCUUUUAACAGGAAGAAAAACUCCGACGUGUCGAAUCUUGACG